CCAGCGUACAAAGUGAAGACAAAUGCUCUAAGAAACAAGUACUUGCAUUAAUUUUACUGGGGUUGUUUUCUCUAAGAGUCCGGAAACUUAAAAAACUUUGUCAUUCAAAAUAAUAGAGGACUUUCUUGCGCAUUUGAUGCACCUUCGUUUUCAGUGAGCCAUUCAUCUAAAAUGUUCAAUAUUACAAGGCAAUACAUUGGUCAUGGAGGACUCAAAAGAUGCCUUGAGACUAAUAGAAGCAUGAUCAUACCAAAACGAGCGAUAGAUUUUUUUGAUUAAAUAAUAAUAAUAAUGAUGAUGAUUUACAUUAUUUUCUUUGAUUCUUAAAAUGUUGCAAUCCCCCCAUAGUUGUCCUUUGGCAUAUGAUUCUCCAUCAUCCUUAUUGCAUCAAUCACAUAUGAAACCUACAUAUGAUGGGAAUCACUUGGAACAAUAUAUAAUAACCAUUUUUAACCACCACCCAACCCCAUCAAUAGAGUCCGGUGAUAAUUUUCAAAUUAUUACCUAAAUGUAUAUGAUGGCUUUUAAUUGAGAAACUG
rnacentral:lncRNA from 1 species